rnacentral:lncRNA from 13 species
ACUGUAAAGUCGUCAUCCUUCCUCUGCAUAUGGUGUCUAGUAGGCAUGCUUGUAGGCGAUGUGUCAUGUGUGCAUGCCAAAAUUGUGCAAUAGGGCUGGAGGAGAUGAUUGAUUAGGGGAAGUGGAGAGGAGAGAGGGUAGAACUGCCGGUUUUAGUCACCCUGAUUGAAGGUGACAUAAUAUCGUAUAGUUUCCGUCACCAUAAAAUAAUCGAGACGUGGCCUGAUAGCUACAUCAUUGGCUGAACGCGAUAGAGGCGUGGUUAACGCAGCAGAAAGUCCUAAAAGCAGGGUUGACGUUUAAAAGCGGUUCAUUCGCAGCGGAACGCAGAGAACAGUCUGUUUUACAUCCAUUUGAAUGACUACACAACAAAGAGGAAUUCUGGCGAAAUGGUGUCAAUCUUCGCUGUGCAUGGAGACUGACUGCCUGUUACACGAAUGCAGUAGAAGCCUAGUGGUGUUUCUGCUGAUUAGAUGUGCCAACUUCCUGUCCAUGCACUGUAACUGUUCUCAAGCUCCCAAUGGUACAACAACCUAUCACCUCUCAGAGCCCCCGCCUUCAAUGAAUUGUGAAACAGAGUGGGCAUAUCCAAAUGGAUCCACGCUGACCUUUAAAGGUGAAACAAAUGCAAAUCAGGUUCUGGGUCUGACCAGACAGUCCAUCACUACCACAGUCUGUCUGGGCAGCCUGAAGUAUACGGUGGACUGCGUAAAGCCUCAGGUGGUGAAUAAAGUAGAAUGUAACUGCACCAUGGAACCUAGCAGCCCCUCUAAUCCUGACCACAUCAAGGAUGUCAGACCAGUUACAGAUGUGUUGACAGGAGCAGGAAUAGGACCCAACGAACCUCAGUUAAUGUGGACAACGCAGAAGAAACCAAAGUGUGAAUUUCCUAACAGUUCAUACCAGUUCACUUCCUGUCGUAUGCCGCAACAGAUUUAGUUCCUCUCCCUCCCCCCCAGCUAUACCAGGGAAGUCCCUGUGUGAUUUAUGAAUGACUUAGAAUUGGAGUUCCAGGCUUGAUAUUGAAGCAGAGAGGAUAUGACAUCAGUUCCCAGCCACACCUACUCACACCACUCUGCCUAGACAUUGUUUGUUAAUCAAGUAUUAUUAUAAUACAUCAUUAUAUAUCUAGUAAUAUAACCAUAAUAUACAUUUUGUACAUAGUAGAACAUGAAAUAUGAUUACGAUAUGUAUUACCGUUUUCCAGUCAGUCACUGAGGAAGUGACUCGUGGAUCCAAUGUCAUGCUUUUAAUAGAUUAAAUUGGCCCAUAGACACGGAUUUAAAGUUUCCCCCUAAUGAAGUAGUGUUCGGGAAGCUGAUCCUAGAUCUGUGCCUAUGGGCUCGUCUGACCCAGAUUUUAGUGUUGUCU